rnacentral:ncRNA from 1 species
CAACUUUUCCUAGUUUCGUAAAACUAGGUGGUGCGGAUGGGAUAACUCCCGCCGAGUUUCUUGUUUUCUCGUACUCAAAACAAGUGGCGAGCCUGAGU